UGAGCCUGUCGGCCAUCAUCGACGGCAAGGUGGGCUCACCUGGGGCACCUGGGGGCACCUGGGCACACCUGGGCACACCUGGGCACACCUGGGCGCACCUGGGCACAGCUGGGGUACAGCUGGGCACAUCUGGGGUACACCUGGGCACACCUGGGGCGGGUGGGACACCGAGAUCUUCGACUACCUGAGCCUGUCGGCCAUCAUCAACGGCAAGGUGGGCUCACCUGGGGCACCUGGGGGCACACCUGGGCACACCUGGGCGCACCUGGGGGUACCUGGGGGCACCUGGGGGCACCUGGGAGGGGUUGGGACACCAAGGUCCCAAAAUGAUCCCAAAUCCCCCAAAUGUCCCCAAAUCCCCCAAAUGUCCCAAAAUGUCCCCAAAUACCCCAAAUCCCCAAAAUGUCCCAAAAUGUCCCCAAAUCCCCGAAAUGUCCCAAAAUUUCCCAAAUGUCCCCAAAUGUCUCCAAAUCCCCCAAAUUCCCCAAAUGUCUCAAAAUGUCCCCAAAUCCCCCCAAAACGACAUGAAAUGCCCCAAAUUCCCAGACUUUCUGCGUGCACAGCGGCCUCUCCCCGUCCAUCCAGACCCUGCCCUGUCCCAAACCCCCCAAAUGCCCCAAAAUGUCCCAAAUCCGCCCAAAAUGACCCAAGUCCCCCCAAAUCCCCCAAAUGUCCCAAAUCCCCCAAAUGUCCCCAAAUCCCCCCAAAACGACCCGAAAUGCCCCAAAUUCCCAGAUUUUCUGCGUGCACGGCGGCCUCUCGCCGUCCAUCCAGACGCUGGACCAGAUCCGCACCAUCGACCGCAAGCAGGAGGUGCCGCACGACGGCCCCAUGUGUGACCUGCUCUGGUCCGACCCCGAGGGUACGGCGGGCACGGGGGGCACGGGGGGGGACAGGUGAGGGACAGGUGAGGGACAGGUGAGGGACAGGUGAGACAGGCAAAAAAAACCCCCCAAAAAUCCCAAAAUCCCCAAGGUUCUACCCAAAAUUCACUGAAUUGGCCUCAAAAAUCACCUGAAUGGGGCCCAAAACUCACCUGAAUGGGGCCCAAAAAUCACCUGAGUUGUCCAUGGUGAGGGACAGGUGAGGUACAGGUGAGGGACAGGUGAGGGACAGGUGAGGGACAGGUGAGACAGGCAAAAAAAACCCCCCAAAAAUCCCAAAAUCCCCAAGGUUCUACCCAAAAUUCACUGAAUUGGCCUCAAAAAU
rnacentral:lncRNA from 1 species